rnacentral:rRNA from 1 species
UACGGGGGGGGCAAGCGUUGUUCGGAAUUACUGGGCGUAAAGGGCUCGUAGGCGGCCAACUAAGUCGGAUGUGAAAUCCCCAGGCUUAACCUGGGAACUGCAUCCGAUACUGGAUGGCUUGAAUCCGGGAGAGGGAUGCAGAAUUCCAGGUGUAGCGGUGAAAUGCGUAGAUAUCAGGAGGAACACCGGUGGCGAAGGCGGCUACCUGGACAGAAACUGACGCUGAGGCACGAAAGCUAGGGGAGCAAACAGG